CGCCACGUUUACCAGCCGGAGUCUCAAAUCAUGUCCCUUUGUGGUGAUAAAGAGGACACAGCCUGGUGUGAAACUACAUUUAUUACGGAAGGAUGCCAGCCGGGGAUCCGAACACGUCCGAUAUCAUCCAAGAGAAUGUGGCAGCUGAAGGGGAGAGUCCAAGAAAGAGGCCAAGGGUGAAGACAUUUAGCCACCCCCUGAAGUACAUGGCAGCAUCCAACCCUCUUGCUGAGCUGCAGGAAUGUGCUCCCCAUUGCAGUGCACCAGCUCCAUGUACUGAUUUUGGGUGUGAACUUGAUGGGGUUGGAGGAAACUAGACUCGGCCAUCAAGCUCACCACAAUAUAACAUGAAAAGUGAAAAUUGCUGCACACAGCAGUCUGCCGUCUGCGCCAGGAGGCAAGGCAGCUCAAAGCCCAGGCUGUUACAACUCCUGGGCAGUUUUUGCCCAGAGCCAGCAGUUUUUUUAGAUCCAAUAGGGAUGGAUUUUUUUCUGAGGUCAGGUUCAACAUGCUGCAAGAUGCCAAGAUCUAAGCCUAGUAGGAGAUAUGGGUUACAAGAGAGGAGGUUUGCUCUGGCCUUAUACUAUCAAAGUCCAAAUGCUAAUAGAUUUCUAAGCACAGUAUUUUACUUGAAUUCAGUUUCAACACUUCACUCAUGACUCAGGGGUAUUUCAGUACAUGUUGGCUGGAGCAAACAGACUCUGACAGCCCUGCAGCAAAGAACACAGGCUUUGUCAAAAGAAGAGAUACUUUGUGGGAUUUGCCAUUAUUGAGUAUUACUCUUGUUCCAGCAAGAAUUUUUUUCCAUAUACUUUGCCAAAUAUUGCAAGUAAUGCACCAUUGUUGGGCUUGCCUGUUAUAAAUCAGAUCUUGUUCAAUUAACAAGCUUUGGGUGUCUUCCACUUUCCAGUUGUAAUGCAAGGAAUCAUUUAUCUUCCCUGCCAGAUAUCACAUGUAAUGCACCAUUGUUGGUUUUGCCUGAUAUAAAUCAGAUCUUGUUCAGUUAACAAGCUUUAGGUGUCUGCCACUUUCCAAUUGUAAUGCAAGGAAUCCCCUGCCAGAUAUCGCAUGUAAUGUACCAUUGUUGGUUUUGCCUGUUAUAAAUCAGAUAUUGUUCAGCUCACAAGCUUUGAAUAUCUGCCAUUGUUUAUUUCAGGUGUAAUGCUUGGAAGCAUUUGUUCUCUUCCCUACCCAACAGUAUGCAAUGCUUUAUUGUGGAUUUUGCCUGUCAUAUUUAAUCUUGUUCAGGUAACAAGCUUUUGGUGUCUGCCUUACCUAAUAUGUGCUGCAGUGACACUUGGCUUGGUUUCAUGAUGUGAAAUACAGCAUGUAAUUUCAUCACACUAAGUGUCUAUCAUCACGUGUCUGGCAUCAUUAAUGUGGCUUCCAGGAGUAAUAUUGUUUGUAUUACAGCAUGCAAUUUUUUUUUCUGCUUUAUAUGAUAUGCAUAAUCACAUAGGUAUG